GUAGGGAAUCUUCCACAAUGGACGAAAGUCUGAUGGAGCAACGCCGCGUGAGUGAAGAAGGUCUUCGGAUCGUAAAGCUCUGUUGUUGGUGAAGAAGGAUAGAGGCAGUAACUGGUCUUUAUUUGACGGUAAUCAACCAGAAAGUCACGGCUAACUACGUGCCAGCAGCCGCGGUAAUACGUAGGUGGCAAGCGUUAUCCGGAUUUAUUGGGCGUAAAGAGAGUGCAGGCGGAAUGAUAAGUCUGAUGUGAAAGCCCACGGCUCAACCGUGGAACUGCAUCGGAAACUGUCAUUCUUGAGUGCAGAAGAGGAGAGUGGAACUCCAUGUGUAGCGGUGGAAUGCGUAGAUAUAUGGAAGAACACCAGUGGCGAAGGCGGCUCUCUGGUCUGCAACUGACGCUGAGGCUCGAAAGCAUGGGUAGCGAACAGGAUUAGAUACCCCAGUAGUCC
rnacentral:rRNA from 1 species